rnacentral:sRNA from 1 species
CUUUUGUAGAUAUAUUUUUUAUCCAGGAGGAAAACAACAACCAAAGUUAUGCUUCUUUCUAACUUUCCGAUUUGAGGACAAAUCGUUUUUAAAGAGGUCACCAUCAAAGCUUGGAAACCAUGCCUAUGCAUCUUAGAAGGCUUGCCAAACUAGAGAGAGUUAAGGACGAAAAGAAGAGUGCAUUUUAAGUGUUUUCCGGAUUGGAGAAGAUGGCUUCUGGAUUGGACUGCAAAGGGAAAUUACCUUCCGGAAUGAAGACUGAGCCCAACCACCUGCUGUUCGCGCUCAGCCAAUUUGCACCAAAUUUCAGCUUUUGAAAAACGCACAUUUUUAAUGUUAUUGGCAUGGAACUUGCAGCCCAAGCUGAGUAGCGUCUUAUAUACUCUUCUUUAGCAAUCUUAGAAGCUUGAAAAGUCAGAUUUAGAGCUCUCUUCAC